rnacentral:rRNA from 1 species
ACCUACGGGAGGCAGCAGUGAGGAAUAUUGGUCGAUUGUGGCGAGCCUGACCCAGCCAAGUCGCGUGAGGGAUGACGGCCCUACGGGUUGUAAACCUCUUUUGUCGGGGAGCAAAUUCCGCCACGUGUGGCGGAGUCGAGAGUACCCGAAGAAAAAGCAUCGGCUAACUCCGUGCCAGCAGCCGCGGUAAUACGGAGGAUGCGAGCGUUAUCCGGAUUUAUUGGGUUUAAAGGGUGCGUAGGCGGACUGUCAAGUCAGCGGUAAAAUACGGGGGCUCAACCUCCGCCCGCCGUUGAAACUGACGG